GACGAACGCUGGCGGCGUGCUUAACACAUGCAAGUCGAACGGACAGGCCCUGCUUUUGUGUGUUUCUCGAGUGGCGAACGGGUGAGUAACACGUGAGUAACCUCCCCUUGACUGUGUGAUAACUUCAGGAAACUGCGUCUCAUACCGGAUAGAAUCUCUUGCUGCACGUUGUUGGAUGGAGAAUUUCGGCCGUUGGGGAUGGUCUCGCGGGUUAUCAGCUUGUUUGUGAGGUAGUGGCUUACCAGGGGUUUGAAGGGUAGCCUGCAUGGGCGGGGGACCGGCGACAAUGGGCCUGAGGUAGGGCCCAGAAGCGUAUGGGAGGCAGUAGUGGGGAACAUUGCAGAAUGGGGGGACGCCUGAUGCGGCAACGCCGCGUGCGGGAUGACGGCCUUCGAGUUGUAAACAGAUUUCGAAUGAACUGAAGAGUGAGUGACGGUAAUGGGUAAAGAAGCCACGGCUAACUACGUG
rnacentral:rRNA from 1 species